AUGAACGCUGGCGGCGUGCUUAACCCAUGCCAGUCGAACGAAGCACUUUAUUUGAUUUCCUUCGGGACUGAUUAUUUUGUGACUGAGUGGCGGACGGGUGAGUAACGCGUGGGUAACCUGCCUUGUACAGGGGGAUAACAGUUGGAAACGGCUGCUAAUACCGCAUAAGCGCACGGCAUCGCAUGAUGCAGUGUGAAAAACUCCGGUGGUAUAAGAUGGACCCGCGUUGGAUUAGCUAGUUGGUGAGGUAACGGCCCACCAAGGCGACGAUCCAUAGCCGACCUGAGAGGGUGACCGGCCACAUUGGGACUGAGACACGGCCCAAACUCCUACGGGAGGCAGCAGUGGGGAAUAUUGCACAAUGGGCGAAAGCCUGAUGCAGCGACGCCGCGUGAGCGAAGAAGUAUUUCGGUAUGUAAAGCUCUAUCAGCAGGGAAGAUAAUGACGGUACCUGACGAAGAAGCACCGGCUAAAUACGUG
rnacentral:rRNA from 1 species